CAACAACUACUACUACUACUUUAUUCUUAUAACCUGCCUCCAUCUCCCCGAAGGGACUCAGGGCAACUUAUACGGGGACCAAGCCCGAAAAAACAAUGUACAAGAUAUAAAAUAAAAUGCAUAAUAAACAAUAUAAUCCAACACAAUUAAAAUCACAGAAUAAAAGCAUCAAAAAUACAUCAAUGAGCAUAAAAAAUUGAAAAGUGGGGUAAAUAAAAUAGUAAGGGAAAGGGCAGGGCUUGUGCAAAACGCAGAACAAUAGAACCAGGAAUGGGAAUAAAGUGCUGGAAGCCAGGACAGGGACUUUCUAUUCCUGUGAUCAUUGGAUUUUGAGAAAUUUCCCAGAGGGGAUACGCUCCUACUCCACUUGCAAGAACCUUGGACUAUGGUUGACUCAGAGCUGCCAGUGCAGGAGGCCACUGUCAUGCGAUAGGAGCCCAAGGAAAGAUUGUGUGCUGAAGCCCAAAUAAAAGCUGUUGGAUGGAGUUGUCUGCUGCCACCUUAGAGUCCAUUGAAGUCUCCUUCCUUAGAGGUUUUAAACAGGGGCUGGAUGCCUAUUUGUCAGGAAGGUUAUCCUUGUGUCUUCCUACAGGGAAGAAUGGGGUCGGACUGGAUGGCUGGGCUCCCUUCAAGCCUUAUGACUCCAGGAAAUGGGUCUUAUUGGGAUAAUCCCCACCUCCUGGAUCCUCCGCUCCACUUGGUCUCCCUCUGCUUUUUCCUUGGCAGACUUCAUGCAGUCAGCCUUAGAAGGGGCUCCAAGGGCCAUCCAGUCCAACCCCUUCCACUAGACAAGAAUGUCCACCCAAGCCCUCCUAACACAUGGCCAUCGAUUUUGACAUAUACAGCCUCUAUGUAAAAGACUUCAGAAAAGGAGGCUCCAAUAAACUAACUUUGAAAGAGUUAUAAUCUUGGUGGAUGAAGGGGGAAACGGCACACCUAAAUUCAGGAAGGCUUUUGUAAAGGUCCCCCAGGACAAUCUCACAAAAAAAGCCAGUAGAAUGUGGGCGAGACAGUGCUCCUGUGAGGUGGAUUGGAAACUGGUUCAUAGGCCGAACCCAGAGGGUGCUUCUGUGCAGUGGCUCCUCUUUCUUCCUCCUGGAAGGAGAUACCAGAGGGGCGCCAAAAAGAGGGUUCUGUCCUGAGCCCCUUAGGGCUAUGCAACGCCUUGGAGGAUGGAAUGGAAGGGAUGCUUCUUGGGGGGAAGGGAAGGGAGAAGCUGAGGUCUUCUUCUGUCUCAUGCCUUUCUAGCAGCUUCCUUUCAGAGAGAAUCCCAACUUCUUCAAAGAAAAAACUACCCAGAGAGUUGGUGAGUGAAAGAAGGGGGCUGGAAAGGAGGGAGCUUUCCUCUCUCCUUCCUUCGGGAAAUGGAUUCUGGGUCAGGGCCAACCCAAGACCCCUUGAGUUCUAACUGGACUUGCUUGGGGAGGGAAUCCUGCAGCCCUCAAAUGCUGUUGGACUUCAAGUCCCAACAGCCCUGGCAACAUGGUCAUUGAGGAGGAAGGCUGGCGGUUGCAGUCCAACCCUCUCCGGGACUUGCAGUGCGAAUGCACCUGAAAAAGAGAGGAGAGUGUGGCAAAGGGUACAGCACCCAUUUCCUUCUUCUCUCCCCCCCCCCUUUCAACGGGGCUCGAAGGAAGUUGGGAUACCUUCGGAGCUGUUCCUGCAGGAGGGGGUGGCCCAGGACCUUGAAAUGGAGAGGUACCUCCUUCCCAGGAUCAGGGGCCCAUGGCAGGCAGAGAUCUCCCCCCUCCCUCAAUUGAGGCCAUGGGGGCCUCAGCCUUAUUCGAGGGGGGUUUGGGGGUCUCCACUUGAGAGAGAUGGGAGGACUUCUUCUGACCUUGCCUAGUCGUUUCUCUAUCCUUGCAGUGUCCACAAGCACCCUCAGAAGACAUCAAAGGUAAGGAAGAGAAGGUGUGGUAAAAGAGGGAUGGACUCCACACUUCUUUUCCUCUCACUGCCCCUCCUUUAAGCUUCUUCCUCCUACUUGGGUCUUCCUCCCGCGCUGUUGUCCCAUUCCUUCUCUUUUGGCCCAUACCCAAGAGGGAAGGGGACAGCUCCUAUUUCACUCCUCUGCCAAAUUGUCUUUUUCAGGACCCUGAAGAGGCAACGCUGGCAGAUACCCCUGGCUCCCCAGUUUGAGCAGGUGCAUUGCUCUUCUCCGGGAAGAAUGACCGUUGGCCCCCCCUUCUUGUUCUCAGUUCUUGUCCUGCCAGGCCUCACCUCCCUGUGCGUCUCCUCCAGAUCCCUGGGCCACGAGGAAGCAGAUCUGGCCCUGCCCCCCUCGGAGAUGGUCCUCCCUGGGCCCAGAGCAGGCGAAAGAACACCUGCACCAUCUAUGCCAGCUGGUCUGCCGUCCCUCCUCUGCAGAGGCCAUGUAGGUAGUGGACUACUUAGUCCGCAAACAUCUGAAGAUGGCCACGGACCAUGUUCUGGAGUCCAACGGGAGGUGCCACUCCCCUGUCCCCAUGAGGCCCUGAGCAGCCUUCCCCACAGAGUUGGAGAAAAGAAUGACCCUGACCAUGGCUCCCUCUUCCCUCCCUUCAUUCACGGGGAUUGUGGUGAAUUCCACCAUGCCUCCUAUGUCAAUAUAACAAUAUAAUAAUAUAUAAUACUAAUAUUAUGCUAUACUGAUAAUAUAAUAUAUUGUAUAUAAAUAUAAUAUUGAUAUUAUAAUGUAAUAUAAUAAUAAUAAUACACUAUUAUAAUUUUAUAUUAUAUAUUACAUGUAACAUUACUAAAAAUAUUGCAGCAUAGUGGUAUAGUAAAAUAUAGCAAUAUAUAUUACUUAUGUUGUACUAUGCCAAAUAAUACAGGGUGUUUGAAAAAGAACUCCCUAUUCACCAUUUAAAUUAAAUUAAAUUCAGAGUGAGAAGGGCAGGAUAAAAAUGUCACAAAUAAAUAAAUAAAUAAAUUGAUUUGCGCCAUACCCAAUUCACUCUACUGCUACAUGGUAGUGGCACUUGACCUGUUCCUGGCCAAGGUGAAGGAGGGCCUUUGGCUGGCCCCGGAGGGCAAGGAACAGGGCAGCCCCACUUUGGAUGCAGCCACAGUAAGGACAUCCCCACCUGCACCUUGUCUUUGGGGAGCUGGGGAAGGAGACGGGGCCCCUCUUCCCUGGCCUUCAACAGGGACCUUCCUUGCAUUUCAGCCUCCUUUUUCUCUCUCCGUAGGCAAGAGCGACAGGGACCAUCGGUGGGAUCGUCAGGCAUGUCAGGGACUGCACUUGCCUGGAGGAGUGGUUCCUGGAGCUUCUGCUAGCCUUAAUGACCAACUACAUCAAGGUCACAAGGGCUGGGUUGGAGGUGUCCAGCAGGAACUGGAGCAGCACCUACAUUUCUCCAGUCAGGAGUGGGUGGGGAGGAAGGGUCAGUGGGGCUACCAGCCCUCUCUUUUGUGGGCCAUAUGGGGGAUUCAAACCCUCCGCUGGGAAGUAAACCUUUUCUUUCAUAUUUCUGCAGAGAACCGGCGAAGAUCAUCUUGGUGCUGGUGAAGAGGGUGGCCCAGGUGUCCUUCAAUGAGACUUCUGAGAAGAUGCUAGAAGAGCUCAGCAUCUGCCCCGAAGGAAUGGCCCUUCAGUUGUGGAGCCUUCUCAAGUCCCUCGCCUCCUUGCUCCAGCGGCUGUGUUCCACUUGGGAAGCAGAAGUGUUGCUGAAGCAUUCGGCUGGAGUGGUGGCCUUCUACAUCCAGCUGCUGCACAUUGGCCAGUGCCCACACUCCCCGGAGAAGACCUGGGUGCCGCUGAUGGCCUGGCUCCAACAUUGCAGCCUGGCCUUCCAACACCAGAGCAGGCAGGGCCUUCUCCUUCUGUGCAAGACGUACAGGGAGACCAUAGGCCUACAGGAGUUCUUGGACGGGGUUCUCGGGGAGCUGCGAUCCCCCCCACAGCAAUGUUGCCCUAGAGUUUCUGGGCCUGGCUGCUGUAGGAGGAAGAUUGGGGCCCCACGAAGGCUCACCUGGCUGCUGGGUGCCUCCCUCCCUUCCACCACGAGUGGCCAAGAUCUAAAAGGCAGCCCUGGAAUGCUUCCAGCAUCAUCUCUGGUGCCCAGAACAUCCCUAUCAGGAGUGCCAGACCAUUCAUGACUUCCUUGCUGCGCUCGUUCAUGUGGAGGACAAGGACAAGGAGGUGGCCAAGAUCCAGCCCUGCACAUCCAGGAGGAAGGUGGAGGAACAGGUGUAUGGCUGCCUGCCUUUCUUGAAGAGCCCACAACCCUCAGCAAAGAUGAUGCACUUCGCACUUCUCUUCUCUUUCAGCUGCUGCACAUUGGCUGGCAUCCAG